UCCGCAAACUCAAGCACGGCUUGUUUGUUGAGCAAAUUUGUUCUGUUAAGGAACAGGCUUGAAAUGCAGUGGCGAAUGAUACCGACUGUGGUGCCCGAGUGCUUUGGGGCUUUGUCACACACUCUUGUGGCCCGGUCGGCGUUCUUGCCCCCCUUUUUUAGGGUUAUUGUUAGUUA
rnacentral:misc_RNA from 1 species